UGUACACACCGCCCGUCACACCAUGGGAGCGGGUUCUGCCAGAAGUAGUUAGCCUAACCGUAAGGAGGGCGAUUACCACGGCAGGGUUCGUGACUGGGGUGAAGUCGUAACAAGGUAGCCGUAUCGGAAGGUGCGGCUGGAUCACCUCCUUUCUGGAAAUAUGCAGUCAAAUUCUUACGCCCAUUCUUAUCGGCUGUUGUGUUAAACAACAGCAAUGUCACCGAGUUAAUUCAAGUUAAUUAGCAUUAAUUGGUGCCGCCUUCGAGUUUAUUAAUGAGAGUUAAUUAAUGAGAGGGUCUGUAGCUCAGCUGGUUAGAGCAUCGUCUUGAUAAGGCGGGGGUCGUUGGUUCGAGUCCAACCAGACCCACCAAUUGGGCUUAGGUGGAGAGCGAGAAGCGAAAAAGAAAUCCCGGGGGAUUAGCUCAGCUGGGAGAGCACCUGCUUUGCAAGCAGGGGGUCGACGGUUCGAUCCCGUCAUCCUCCACCAAAAUAUUCAGCAGAUUGAUAGAUUCAGUCUGUUGGAAAAAAACUUAUCCGAAGCAAAUUAAAUUAAUGCAAAGCAUGUUCGCGACAAGUCGCGAGGAUGCUUUGUAUUGAUUGAUUCAUUUCAAUUAUUGGCUGUUCUUUAAAAAUUUAUAGAGUUAAAUUAGCGUCGUUAGCGGAAACUGCACAUUCGUAAAGGUUUAGUGCAGACCGUGCCGCUAGCGACAUAGUAGUAAAUAAUUUUUUGAUUGCGUCAAAAGAAACUUUUAAUUUCGAUAGUAAUUUAUUGAAUAAUUGGAAGAUACGGCAUAACGCGUGUGGUGUAAGACCACACAAUCAUUCCUUGAAGAUAGCUUAUGAGAAAUCAAAGUUAUAGGGUCAAGCGAAUAAGAGCAUAUGGUGGAUGCCUAGGCAAUGAUAGGCGACGAAAGACGUGAUAGCCUGCGAUAAGCUUCGGGGAGCUGGCAAAUUAGCUUUGAUCCGGAGAUUUCUGAAUGGGGAAACCCACCCUUCGGGGUAACGCUGACUGAAUACAUAGGUCUGCGUGGCGAACCGGGUGAACUGAAACAUCUCAGUAGCUCGAGGAAAAGACAUCAACCGAGAUUCCGAGAGUAGUGGCGAGCGAAA
rnacentral:misc_RNA from 2 species